GCCCGAAUGGUGGAAUAGGUAGACACGCCGGACUUAAAAUCCUGUGGACAGAAAUGUCCGUGCCGGUUCGAUCCCGGCUUCGGGUA
rnacentral:tRNA from 1 species